rnacentral:rRNA from 1 species
GAGUAUUGGACAAUGGGCGCAAGCCUGAUCCAGCAAUGCCGCGUGAGUGAAGAAGGCCUUCGGGUUGUAAAGCUCUUUCGGCGGGGAAGAUAAUGACGGUACCCGCAGAAGAAGCCCCGGCUAACUCCGUGCCAGCCGCCGCGGUAAUACGGAGGGGGCUAGCGUUGUUCGGAAUUACUGGGCGUAAAGCGCACGUAGGCGGGAUGGCAAGUUGGGGGUGAAAUCCCGGGGCUUAACCCCGGAAUUGCCUUCAAAACUGCCGACCUAGAGUUCGGGAGAGGUAAGCGGAAGUCGGAGUGUAGAGGUGAAAUUCGUAGAUAUUCGGAAGAACACGAGUGGCGAAGGCGGCUUACUGGCCCGGUUCUGACGCUGAGGCGCGAAAGCGUGGGUAGCAAACAGG